AUUGAACGCUGGCUGCAGGCCUAACACAUGCAAGUCGAACGGUAACAGGAAGAAGCUUGCUUCUUUGCUGACGAGUGGCGGACGGGUGAGUAAUGUCUGGGAAACUGCCUGAUGGAGGGGGAUACCUACUGGAAACGGUAGCUAAUACCGCAUAACGUCGCAAGACCAAAGAGGGGGACCUUCGGGCCUCUUGCCAUCGGAUGUGCCCAGAUGGGAUUAGCUAGUAGGUGGGGUAACGGCUCACCUAGGCGACGAUCCCUAGCUGGUCUGAGAGGAUGACCAGCCACACUGGAACUGAGACACGGUCCAGACUCCUACGGGAGGCAGCAGUGGGGAAUAUUGCACAAUGGGCGCAAGCCUGAUGCAGCCAUGCCGCGUGUAUGAAGAAGGCCUUCGGGUUGUAAAGUACUUUCAGCGGGGAGGAAGGGAGUAAAGUUAAUACCUGUACUCAUUGACGGUACCCGCAGAAGAAGCACCGGCUAUCUCCGUG
rnacentral:rRNA from 1 species